rnacentral:lncRNA from 1 species
GCCUGAGACUUGGGGGAGGCCAACACGAGAGCACCACAGCCUAAGGAGCAACACAGAUUAUAUAACAGUCGAGAUAAGCAACGACACCCACGGAUUUCGUGUAAAUGCUGACACCGAGUUCUUGGCCGCAAUGUCAAACAAAAGUGACGGGAUCCCACACGACUGAACUUCGACGGCAUUGUUCUCCCCGUCGUUACUCAAAACCGAGGUCCUUUAAACUGGAUGACUAGUUCCUUGGGAAGGAAGGAGACUCUCACUGGAUUAGUGAAUAACAAUGAUGACUAAGGGCAGAUCUCCAUACGACCUUUCUCUAGAAGGCUCCCUCCUCCAUGUUUAUAAGAUCCAUCUACCAAAGCUAAUGCUUGCCAUCAGAGAGCCUGGUUUAAUUAAACUGUGGUUCCAGACAGAAUGGAGUAGGAAGCAGUAGAACCCUGCUGCAGCUGCAACAACUUUAACAAGGGGACUAAACCUCUGAAAUUACGUUCUCAAAGACAUCAGAAAAUGGUGGAAGCAGACACGACUAAAUGAAAUCAACCAGAGGCAAGAGAGCCCUACCCAAAUGAGUGGGCGGCCACUGGCUGCUUUCUGCCCUGGGGAUGUUUGCCAAUUCCAAGUGCAAGAUGAGGCUCGAGCUUGGCCUGAGUACAAGGAUGUUAGUGUGAGAAAAAACACUGCCAGAGUUUUGGGAGGUUGUGUGGAGCUGGGAUGACAAUUUGAAAACUUCCGGAGCCCUAAAUAGGCAAAGUCCCUUUCCCUCUGUGGUUCAUUUACUGAGUCAAGGGGCACUUGGAAGGUUAAGGAACUCCUCUAAAACAGCAGACUGAAAUACACUGUGGUCCUACAGAAGUGGGGAGACAGAGUCCACCUCCUGGAGGAGCAUCUGCUGCAAGCCUAGGGCCAGUCUCCUCCUUAAGAUAGUUACCAAAUUUAGAAAAACGUGGGAUCUGGAGACUAGAGGGCAAAAUUCAAAACUGUCAAAAGGCAUAUCACCUGCCCUGGGGGCUCUGUGGGUGGAAAUGAAAGAGGCAAGACCUGAGAGUCUAGCAGUCAAAAUCCACAGAAAGGUCUUCUCAACUCUGAAACAUUUGAAACAAGUGAUAGACUCAGUUUGACUAAAUCCCUAUCCUUGAUUAAAUCAUCAAAGAGCAAAUCCUUUCCGGAUCAAAAGGUAAUACGAACUUCAGUCUCUAUACAGUUUCAUUGUGUUCUUUUAUGCACAGUGUCUAGCAUAAACUAGAAAAUUAUAAGAUAUGAGAAGAGGAGGGGGGAGCCUUUUGAAGCAGAGAGAUGACCUACAUGUUGAAAUUAGCAGGCAACCUUUUUAAAUAAUUGUUAUUAAUAAUGUUAAAAAAUAAGGGGAAAGGUGAACAAACUAUUAAAAUAUGGAGACUUUCAAUAGAGAAUUGAAAUUAUAGGAGUUCCCAUUGUGGCUCAGCAGAAACAAAUCUGGCUACUAUCCAUGAGGACUCAGGUUCGAUCCUUGGCCUCACUCAGUGGGUUAAGGAUCCGGCAUUGCCAUGAGCUAUGGUGUAGCCUGCAGAUGUGGCUCAGAUCUGGCGUUUCUGUGGCCGUGGCCUAGGCUAGCGGCUACCGCCCCAAUUCGACCCCCUAGCCUAGGAACCUCCAUAUGCUGCCCAUUUGGCCCUAAAAGGCAAAAAAAAAAGAGAUAGAGAGAGAAGAAGAAGAAGAAGGAAGAAAUUCUGAAAAAAAUCAACCUAGAAAUGAAGUGAAAUAUCUAAAAGGAAGAAUGCAUUUGGAUCAGUUUAACAUCAGACUGGCAAGUCAGAAGCCAGGAUUAGAAAACUCAAAAAGAAGAAAACUUUAAAAUAGUCAAAAUAGGCAAAUUUGGAGUUCCCGUAGUAGCGCAGUGGAAAUGAAGCCAACUAGGAACCAUGAGGUUGCAGGUUUGAUCCCUGGCCUAACUCAGUGGGUUAAGGAUCCGGCAUUGCCGUGAGCUGUGGUGUAGGUCACAGACAUGGCUCGGAUCUGAUGUUGCUGUGGCUGUGGUGUAGACCAACAGCCAUAGCUCUAACUGGACCCCUGGCCUGGGAACCUCCAUAUGCUGUGAGUGCAGCCCUGAAGAGACAAAAACAAAAACAAAAAAAAUAGGGCGUUCCUGUCAUGGCUCAGCAAUAAUGAACUGGACUAGUAUCUAUGAGGAUUUGGGUUCAAUUCUUGACAUUGUUCAUUGGGCUAAGGAUCUGGCAUUGCUGUGAGCUAUAGUGUAGGUUGCAGACAUGGCUCAGAUCCCAAGUUGUUGUGGCUAUGGUGUAGGCCAGCAGCUACCGCUCCAAUUCAACUCCUAGCCUGGGAACUUCCAUAUGUCAUGAGUUCGUCCUUAAAAAGACAAAAAAUAAAAGAAAAAAA